UAUUCCCUACAGUAUUUGUAUGCUUUACUAUUUGUAUCUCAUUGCAGAUAAUCUCUCUGUGAUAACCAUGUUUUCAUAGGGAUGUUGGUAACAAUCAUUUGGUGGGAACUAUUAGGGAACUAAUACGUAUUGAGGGAUGCUUUCCAUCUCUUCGCAACCUUUAUCUGAAUAAUAACUACCUUACGGGUGGAAUCCCAGCUCAGCUAGCAAACUUGACUAAUUUGGAAAUCUUGCAUUUAUCAUACAACAAAAUGUCUGGGUAUCAUACCAUCUGGACUUGCUCAUAUUCCCCGAUUGACUUCCUUGUA